GUCUGACGGUCACAGCUCUGUCUCCCUAACUUUUCCCUAGCAGACGUGGCUGCCGCCCCAGCACCCCCUUCCAUCCCUCUUCCCACAGGUCACAGGAAUGGGUUUGGAGCCAGAACCUUUCUAGGAAGCCAGAUCCAGCCAGGUUUCCCUGUGGCAGGGAGUUACCCAGCCAGUGGAUACAGCAAUGGAUAUCGCCCCGGAGGCCCUGGAACAUCUGUGGGAUAUGGAAAUGGUAUUCCCCAAGUUUCCUACGGUGCUCAGCCUGGUGGCUCUUUUGGGACAGGACUGAGAGUCCCAUGGCAGGAAAAUAUGGACCAUAUGAGGGGUUAGGACAAGCAGGACCUGGUCCAGUCUCUGGAAGUUAUGGCCGACGCCCCCUUGGGAAAUGCUGAACCAAGGGGAUUUCCCUAGUCUUCCUCAUCUGAGAAGACACCUUCUUCACCAGAAUGAACCCAGCUCCCAGGCUGUCAUUUUGGGAAGAAACAGCACUUGGGCAUGGGGGGAAAAUCGGGCAAGAGGGACACCUUUAGCGUUUAGGACCCUCUCGCCCCUCUGCACUUCAGGUUGCGGUUAAUGAGAGGUUUCCCUCUAGGCUGUACGCUCGUUGCGGGUA